rnacentral:rRNA from 1 species
GCUAACGCGUUAAGUAGACCGCCUGGGGAGUACGGUCGCAAGAUUAAAACUCAAAUGAAUUGACGGGGGCCCGCACAAGCGGUGGAGCAUGUGGUUUAAUUCGAUGCAACGCGAAGAACCUUACCUACUCUUGACAUCCAGAGAAUCCAGCGGAGACGCAGGAGUGCCUUCGGGAGCUCUGAGACAGGUGCUGCAUGGCUGUCGUCAGCUCGUGUUGUGAAAUGUUGGGUUA